rnacentral:siRNA from 1 species
UAAACGCCAAUUUAUCUGGCCG